UGGCAGACGGGUGAGUAAUGCAUAGGAAUCUACCUAGUAGUAUGGGAUAGCCACUAGAAAUGGUGGGUAAUACUGUAUAAUCCCUGCGGGGGAAAGAUUUAUCGCUAUUAGAUGAGCCUAUGUUAGAUUAGCUAGUUGGUAGGGUAAAGGCCUACCAAGGCAGUGAUCUAUAGCUGGUCUGAGAGGAUGAUCAGCCACACUGGAACUGAGAUACGGUCCAGACUCCUACGGGAGGCAGCAGUGGGGAAUAUUGGACAAUGGGCGCAAGCCUGAUCCAGCUAUGCCGCGUGAGUGAGGAAGGCCUUAGGGUUGUAAAACUCUUUCAGUGGGGAAGAUAAUGACGGUACCCACAGAAGAAGUCCCGGCAAACUCCGUGCCAGCAGCCGCGGUAAUACGGAGGGGGCAAGCGUUGUUCGGAAUUAUUGGGCGUAAAGGGCAUGUAGGCGGUUCGGUAAGUUAA
rnacentral:rRNA from 1 species